CCAUUGACUUGGACAAUUUUUGACAAUUUGACC
rnacentral:rRNA from 1 species